rnacentral:rRNA from 1 species
AUGCCGCCUCCGCGGAGGAGUUGCUCCGUUGGUCGUGCCGCUCGCCGUAGCUUGCGUCGGGGCCAUCAUCUGGUCUGCCAAGGCUUCGGGCGGUGGCGAUGGGACGAGGAUGCGGCUUCGCCGCGUCCAGGCGACGUGGGCUCCCUCGCGCCGACGUCCACCGUCGCUUGCUCGCCCGCGCCAAUCGGCGGCGAGGAGGGGAGGAGGUCGGGGAUCGAGGGGAGGAGCGGCGAGGAGGGGGGUGGGUCGGCUCGGGAUCGGGGGAUCAGGUGGAUCCUGUCGGGGUGGCUCGGGAUCGGGUGGGAUUCUGUCUGGUUGGGCCGGGCAGUUCAAGGAAGUUCGGAAGAGUACGAUAUAACUGGAAUUAACCGAUGCAAGUCGAAGAAGGAUUGGCCGGUGCUGCCAGCUGGCGUCAAGUUCGAUCCCACGGAUCAGGAGCUGAUCGAGCACCUUGAGGCCAAAGUGAGUGCUGAUAGCGCGAGAUCUCACCCUCUCAUCGAUUUGUUCAUACCAACCAUCGACAGCGAGCACGGCAUAUGCUACACCCAUCUUGAGAAACUUCCAGGUAUCACACUGAGUGGCCUAAGCAAGCAUUUCUUCCAGUGCAAUUCUAGGGCAUUCAAAAGGGGCACGUGGACGCGUCGCAAGAUACAGUCGGAGUGCGGCAUGCACGCAAUGUGGCACAACACCGGCAAUACCUUGCCGGUGAUGGUCAACGGCCGGCAGACGGGCAGCAAAAAGGUCCUGGUGCUGCACACCAACAAGAACUUCGACCAAUAG